AACGAACGCUGGCGGCAGGCUUAACACAUGCAAGUCGAGCGCCCCGCAAGGGGAGCGGCAGACGGGUGAGUAACGCGUGGGAAUCUACCCAUCUCUACGGAAUAACGCAUGGAAACGUGUGCUAAUACCGUAUACGUCCUUCGGGAGAAAGAUUUAUCGGAGAUGGAUGAGCCCGCGUUGGAUUAACUAGUUGGUGGGGUAAAGGCCUACCAAAGCGACGAUCCAUAGCUGGUCUGAGAGGAUGAUCAGCCACACUGGGACUGAGACACGGCCCAGACUCCUACGGGAGGCAGCAGUGGGGAAUAUUGGACAAUGGGCGCAAGCCUGAUCCAGCCAUGCCGCGUGAGUGAUGAAGGCCCUAGGGUUGUAAAGCCCUUUCACCGGUGAAGAUAAUGACGGUAACCGGAGAAGAAGCCCCGGCUAACUUCGUGCCAGCCGCCGCAGUAAAAC
rnacentral:rRNA from 1 species